rnacentral:lncRNA from 1 species
ACGUCUCAUCUCCACUCCAUCCUCUGUACUCCUCUUCCUCUUCCCUUAUCUCUACUCCCUCCUUACUCCCGCCGCCCGUGCGUCUCCUCCUCCACUCCUGCAGUGGUGAGGUUUCUCUCCCUCCAUUCCUUUCGCCUGCUCUCCUCGCCUCAUGUCGGCUCGCCCUCGUUGGUGCCAUUCAUCGGCGCCAUCCAUCCUACCUCCGCGUGGGUCCCCAAGGAGAGGGGGAUCUUGCCGCGAUCGAAGUUGGUCGCCUGGAUCUCGCCGCCCCCAGGACGGGGCGCUGGCCGGAUCUGAGGACACCUUCUUGUUAGUACUACUAAAACGCUUUCCUCUGCCGUGCAACAGGAAGAAAGACACACAAGAUCCGACGGCUCGGGAGCGGCGGCGACGACGAGCUGGCGCCCCUGGAUCUCGAGGCGCUCCUGGCCACGACGCAAGACUCGGACCCCGACUGCCCCGCCGACGAGCAGACGAUCC